GCUAAGUAAAUGUCUUCUUUAUUUUUUUUUUUUUUUUCCCAUCCUAAAGGUGUCUGGCAGCAGGUGAGGAGGGGCUGGGACUAGAGAGGGAGCACGGCUUAACACCGAGGCCAUCCUAGACAGUGCUGCUGCCUGCUGGAGCCUGGACCCGGUCAAGCAACGCCCUCGCCGAGGAGAAUGCAGCCUUCCCCUCCGGCCGAUUUAUGAUGAGAUCCCGCACCCGGUAAGCAGCCUGCUGCCGUCGAGUGGCACGGGACAAGCCCGAGCCCUUGAGGAUCCACCCAGGAUGAGCGGGAAUGGCCUCUCCAGCCUUUGGGAUUUGCCACGCCGAGGAGCUCAGCACGUCCGGAGCUCCUGAGGAGCCCAAGUAGGACAGAGGAGUCCUCAGG
rnacentral:lncRNA from 1 species